GACGAACGCUGGCGGCGCGCCUAACACAUGCAAGUCGAACGAGCGAGAGAGAGCUUGCUUUCUCGAGCGAGUGGCGAACGGGUGAGUAACGCGUGAGGAACCUGCCUCAAAGAGGGGGACAACAGUUGGAAACGACUGCUAAUACCGCAUAAGCCCACAGGUCGGCAUCGACCAGAGGGAAAAGGAGCAAUCCGCUUUGAGAUGGCCUCGCGUCCGAUUAGCUAGUUGGUGGGGUAACGGCCUACCAAGGCGACGAUCAGUAGCCGGACUGAGAGGUUGAACGGCCACAUUGGGACUGAGAUACGGCCCAG
rnacentral:rRNA from 1 species